rnacentral:rRNA from 1 species
UGCAAGUCGAACGGCAGCACGGGGGCAACCCUGGUGGCGAGUGGCGAACGGGUGAGUAAUAAAUCGGAACGUGCCCAGUAGUGGGGGAUAACCAGUCGAAAGACUGGCUAAUACCGCAUACGACCUACGGGUGAAAGCGGGGGACCGCAAGGCCUCGCGCUAUCGGAGCGGCCGAUUCCCGAUUAGCUAGUUGGUGAGGUAAAGGCUCACCAAGGCGAUGAUCGGUAGCUGGUCUGAGAGGACGGCCAGCCACACUGGGACUGAGACACGGCCCAGACUCCUACGGGAGGCAGCAGUGGGGAAUUUUGGACAAUGGGCGAAAGCCUGAUCCAGCCAUGCCGCGUGCGGGAAGAAGGCCUUCGGGUUGUAAACCGCUUUUGGCAGGAACGAAACGGCGCGAGCUAAUACCCCGCGCUAAUGACGGUACCUGCAGAAUAAGCACCGGCUAACUACGUGCCAGCAGCCGCGGUAAUACGUAGGGUGCGAGCGUUAAUCGGAAUUACUGGGCGUAAAGCGUACGCAGGCGGCUUGGUAAGACAGAUGUGAAAUCCCCGGGCUUAACUGGGAACUGCAUUUGUGACUGCCAAGCUUGAGUCUGUCAGA